ensembl:lncRNA
CCCGUUCCGGGAGCCAGUACAGGGCCCCAGACAGGCCAGGUACAACAAGCACCUGUCAAAGGCAAGGUGUGUUGUGGAGAGGGCCUUCGGGAUGAUGAAGACCAGGUGGAGAUCCAUCUUUCUGAAGGCCCUUGAGGUAAAGUCAAACUUUGCCCCAGUGGUGGUGUCCUGCUGUGUCUUCCUCCACAACUUGUGCCUAUCAAAUGGAGACUUUGUGGAGCCAGGAGACUUUCCACAGGAUCUCCCCGACAACAAUGAAAUGCAACAUGCUGUGGAACCAGGGGACAACAUCAGGCGCAGACUGGCUGCUGCUGUCUCUGCACCAAAUGCCUGCAUAGAUGCACUGAGAGAUCAUGUGUACUGAACAUGGUCUGCACCCUGGAGACUCAUUUAUUGUGCUGAGUGCUGCGACACCUGUGGAAUUGAAUGGAUGCUCCUGUUCAUGUGCUGCUGGAGAGGCGUUAUGCAACCACGUGGUUGCACUCCUUUUCCAGACACAACACUACCAAUUCACAGGGGAGAAAAGCGUGCCAACACCUCUGUCGUGCACCAGUGUUCUGCAGUCGUGGCACCGACCAAGGACACAGGGGAUUCGCCCGGAACCCACUGACCAACUUGUGGUCAGAAAACCCAAGGCAGUUGGACGCACUAGCGUUAAAUCAACGCUUUAUCGAGCCUACCCAGGUAAUGUAGUUUAUCAUUUUAUUAAUUAGGACAGAAAUAUAUGCUCUAUAAAUUCAGAAGAGGUGGCGCACACAGGUCCUUUGUUAUAUCAUAUAUUUAAAAUAUUUAAUGAUUAAUGUUUCCUGUUACUUGUGUGCGUAUGACCCCUUCCUGACCCUGCGGUGCUGUCUGUCGGAGAUGACCUGCGAGACCUUCUACCUCAACCGGGAAUUUGCAAGAUCGUAUGUGACCUGGCCGACCUUACCUUAGUGGACUCUAAGUUUGGACCAGUCCCUCAUGGUUCGGUUCUUUCCUAUCAAUGCCCCCCAGAAAUAUCCAAAGAAAUUAUUAAGCACCCAGAAGCCCCCUCAUUCCCACAACUCCCCUUGUUAGGCUAUACAUUUGAACGACCCCUACAAUUUGUUUCCACAUACCUCCAGUUCCAUCACCUUCAGACUUUAGAAGUCACCUCUGAAUUGGCCACUUUAAUUCAAGAGCACACAAGGGAGCAGUCAGAGAAUCCUAUGUGGAAGGAAGUCCGGCUGCCCCGUGUAACUUCCAGUAGGUUUGGGGAAGUGGUUGCUCUGAGAGGGGAGUCCUCUGCUCAGGCUCUCGCACUGAGGAUCAUAAAGGGGGGAAGGCAAACACCUGAAAUGAAAAGGGGUCUCGACCUCGAGCCAGCAGUGUUGCGACAGUACAGUGACAUGUUUAAUGUAAAUGUCUAUCCUUCUGGAUUUGUUGUCCAUCCUGAGGCGUUUUACCUCGGGGCUAGCCCUGAUGCCAGGGUGUAUGAUCCCACUGCAACCCCCCCCUUUGAUUUAGCUGAAGUCAAAUGUCCAAAUGUGGACAGUAUAACAGAGGUCAAGCAUGUGAAGUUUGUGAACGGUAAGGCCAAACUUAAAUACACCCACAGAUACUACCGGCAGGUGCAAGGCCAGAUGGCCAUCACUGGUUUGUCGUGGUGCGAUUUCAUUACGUCAACAAAAAAUGACCUGACAGUGGAAAGAAUUUGGCAUGAUGAAUCAUUCAUUAAUGAGAUGAAAGUUAAAUUAGAUCUGUUUUAUUUUAACACGUACAUGGACACAUACCUCCUGAAUGCCAAGUAAAUAUGGCCGAGGGACACACACACCCCGAUUUUUCUCUCUCCAGAUCUGCUGUUGCAGAUUGUCAUGUUGCGUUUUAUAUCUGCUGUUGCAGAUUCUGUUCUCAUAUUUUGUUCCUUAAUCCACUGAUGUUAAUGUGGUAAACUGUGUUCUCACAAUUUAGUAGUCUGUUAAAUUUAAAUAUGUAUAUAUUAGUGCUGUCAAACGUUUCAAAUAGUUCAUUGCGAUUAAUCACAUUAAUGUCAUAGUUAAUGCACAAUUAAUCGCAAAUCUUUUUUCUAUGCUAAAUAUCCCUUGAUCUUUUUGUCCCAUUAAUUGUUCUCAUUUUAAUGCUCUUAUCAACAUGGAGAAGUGCAUCGGCUUGCCUUGUGCAAAUGUUUUUUUUGAUAACAACAUUAGCAUAUACUGAUCAAAACAGGACGAUACAAAAAAAUAAAGCCUAUAGUGCAAUUAAACAAUGAACAUACAAACAUACUGCCUUGAACAUAGCAGUCAGGCUACUGCUUCUUUGUUUUGAGCCAAAGAAAAAAAAUACUAAAUUAAUAACGCAUUUAACUGACAGCACUAGUAUAUAUGUAAAAUUAAAUUGUAAUUAAAGAAUUGGAAACGAACAUUCCUGAACAUUUUAACGUAACACACAGAACAUUUCUUUCUGUAACAUGUAAAUAUAUAUAUAUAUAUGUAAAAUUACAUUUUAAUCAAAGAAUUGGAAUCGAACAUUCCUGAACAUUUGUUUAAGGUAACACACAAUUUCUUUCUGUUAAAUGUAAAUAUGUAUAAAUGUAAAUGUAUAUUUAUAAAAAGAACUGGAAACGAACAUUUGAAAAGGACACAAACCAUUUCAUUUCUGUUAGAACUAUUAGUUUCAUUUCAACAAAGAACAUUAAUAA